rnacentral:rRNA from 1 species
CCUACGGGGGGCUGCAGUGGGGAAUAUUGGACAAUGGGGGGAACCCUGAUCCAGCCAUGCCGCGUGUGUGAAGAAGGCCCUCGGGUUGUAAAGCACUUUCAGUGAGGAAGAACGCCUGGUGGUUAAUACCCAUCAGGAAAGACAUCACUCACAGAAGAAGCACCGGCUAACUCCGUGCCAGCAGCCGCGGUAAUACGGAGGGUGCGAGCGUUAAUCGGAAUUACUGGGCGUAAAGCGCGCGUAGGUGGCUUGAUAAGCCGGUUGUGAAAGCCCCGGGCUCAACCUGGGAACGGCAUCCGGAACUGUCAAGCUAGAGUGCAGGAGAGGAAGGUAGAAUUCCCGGUGUAGCGGUGAAAUGCGUAGAGAUCGGGAGGAAUCCCAGUGGCGAAGGCGGCCUUCUGGACUGACACUGACACUGAGGUGCGAAAGCGUGGGUAGCAAACAGGAUUAGAUACCCCUGUAGUC